GUCAGCAGGCCGCACACGCGCCGGACCGGGUACCGCUGUGCCCGGCCUGGCCGCGGCCUAGUCCCGGCAGACGGGACUGACGAGGUCACCAAGCCCAGGCCGAGACGGCGCGGGUGUCAGGGACUUGGGAAUCCCCCUCCCCCAGUCCCGAUCCCGCUUUCCUUUGGGGUUUCACCUCAGAGGACCCGACAGCACUCUUGCAGGGGCGCGGAGAAACGCCUCGACUGCUUCACUGUACCACCACCCACCCGCCACGGGCCUGGAAGGAGCCGCUAAACAUUCCCGAGCCUCAGUUUCCUUAGCACAAACAGGCUGGUAGUUUCCUGGUGCUUGCCAGAUGCCUGAUGGAUGAGAAAGCCUCCUGCGGCCCCGAAAGGGAGUCCAGAGCAGAGGCGGGCCCGCGGUCCACUUUUACAGAACAGCCGUCUGCCUGUCUUCCUGGCUCGCUCCCUGCAGGAAUGGUCUGGGGCAACCCCAGCAACACGCCCACCUGUGGCCAGGAUGAAUAGGAAUCCAGUUCAGGCUUGGCUUCCAUGGCAAUCAAGGCCCACCAGGCCCCAGCAACCUUCCCUACCCCCCAUUCCUUUUUGCUGCCCCCCUCCACACCAGGCAUGUUCCCUGCCACACCAUGCUGUUCCCCUCACCUGGGCUGCCCUCCCAACUCCUCUCUGCCUCUGGAGAUGCUCUGCCAUUCAAGACUUGGCUCAGGCUCCAGGUCCUCCCUGGGCCUUCUAGAGCCCCUGGUUCUCACUCCUCUGAACACUUCCAGCCUGGCUAAUAGCCCACUGCAUCCUGGCCUGGGGUACAGGUGGCCAGCACAGGUGUGGGGGCCAGCUUCCAACACAAGCACGGGUAGGUCCCUCUGCAGACCAUGGGCUGCAAGAGGCCCGGCCUUGCCCACUGCAGGGGCCCUGCGCAGGGCUGGGCACGAAGCAGGUGGGUGUCCACCAAUCUAGUAUCCAAAACCCUGCUUGGUUCACCCCCACCUCUGUUGAAGGAAAGCAACACUGUGAUGGAGAGGAGCAGCUGUGGAUUCAAAUCCUGGCUUGGCCACUUUCUAGUUGUGUGACUUGGUGCAUCUGCCCUCAUCUCCUCAGAGACAAAAAUGGCAACACCUCCCUUCUUGGGUUACUAUGAGGAUUAAAUAACAAAACCUCCAAGAAGCA
rnacentral:lncRNA from 1 species